CCUUGACCUCAAAUCGGGUGAGACUACCCGCUGAACUUAAGCAUAUA
rnacentral:rRNA from 2 species